CGGCCCUCAGCCUGGCAGCGUCAGUUGAUUUCCAUCCCGAGCUCAUUUCAGCGUUCUCAGAACCGGCCAAGGGGCGCCCUUCCUCAGAGCAUCAUGCUCUGCUGGCCUAGAGGUCUUAGCUCCAGAGGGAGGAGGCUUCCACAAGGAAACACAAUGAUUCCAUUGAACCGGAAGUUAAAACUCUCACUCAGCCACUUUGGGCUCCUCAUGCCUCUGAAUCAACAGGCAAGGAAUGGACUUCCGGUGCUGGCUGGGGCGGUUGAUCCUGACUACCAAGGGGAAAUUGGACUGCUGGUCCACACUGGAGCAUGUGGGAUCUUAGUUCUCCAACCAGGGAUUGAAACUGCGCCCCGUGCAGUGGAAGCAUGGAGUCUUAACCACUGGACCGCCAGGGAAGUCCCUGAUUAAUUUUCAAAUAUUUAACCAGCCUGCAUCUCUGGAAUAAGACUCUCCUUGGUCAUGCGCAGCAUCUGAGAUCUUAGUUCCCCAACCAGGGAUCGAACCUGUGCACCCUGCAGUGGAAGCGUGGAGUCUUAACCACUGGACUGCCAGGGAAGUCCCUGUCCAUUUCCAUUUCUAUUUAAAUUGUCAC